rnacentral:lncRNA from 1 species
CUCUGCCCAGAGGCAUGUUAGACCCAGCCCCUUCCUCCAGGUCCACUCAGAGGUCAGGUCGUCGAUCUAGACACGCCUUUCACAAGCUACUUCUGCCUCUCCCUCUAAAUAUAAGCUGAGAUGCCUAGUGGUUUCAAACAAUAGAGAUGAUUUCAUACACAUGAAAACUUGAUAAAAUCAUUAGAAGAUGUCAUUCAAAGUUAAUGGGCAAUUUUUCUCUCUAGGUAAGGAUGCUCUGGCUGACUAACGUUCUCUUUUCGGAUUCAAUUGGACAUGGUUCUCCAGUGCUUCUUGGCUCUAAUUACGGCGGAAUGUGCCUGUGAGUUGUCCAACAGCUGCCACAUCCUUGUUAAGACAUUAAUGAGAGAAGAUCUUGUGAGAAUUGAAGGAAAAUAGAAAAAAAAUAUUGCAGUUGCAAGAGAAGAAUGAUGCCUGCUCCGUGGGAAUAGUCAAGCCAUGAAAAACCAGCCACCUCAUUUCUUCCCCAGAAGACCAUAAGCACAUGGCAUCUCACUUUGAGGGGCAAAUUCUGAGUUUGGCACUUUAUUUAUAUUUUAUUAAUGUAAACAAUAACAAAACACGUUCAAUCACAAGCACUCUACUCAGCCAGCUUUAUGUCUACCUCUGAAUCGAGGCACUUCUGAGAUGCUUCUCAGUGUUAGGGAAUGCUGGCCUGGAAGGCUUAGGAGCCAACUGGCAAGCUCAUUAGAGGACCAAGAAUUGCAUCAUAAAACAGUGGGACCAAAUGUGUGGGCAGUUAUUUUAAAACAUUAUAAAAACCCACCACUGUGUAUUUUUCUAUGAAUUGUUGACAAAUGUGCUUAGUAAUAGGAUAAGUGAAGAAAAAUGAAUGAAUUAGUUGAGAUUUACUUACAUUUUAACAUUAAUAAUAAAAUACAUGAUGUUAGAUGAAUAAAAUAAUCAAUAUAGACACCUUUAUAUAGACAUCCUUAUCCCAGAACUCUUUGUAAAGGACAUGUAAUGAUCAUAACCAUAACAGCAGCAGCAACUCAACAACAAGAGUGGCCCCACAGGUUCAUGGAGAACGUGGGCCACACAGACACUAUGCUUGACCCAUGAACGCGAUUGCAUUCAACCUCUCCUUAGGAGAGACUUGGCUACCAGAUCACGGAACUGUUAAAGAUGUAGAGGCCCCCUGGAUGGGGUCAACUGGAUGUGUCAUUUUUCUGUUUAAUUUCUAGGAUGGAGUCCUAAUGCCUUUGAAAUAAGACGUAAUUAUGUGAACAUCAUAUAAGAAAUUUAUACCUAUGAUGACGUCUUACUCUAUGUGUCUAAGACAAAAAAAUUAUGUCUGCUCUUAUUCUUCCUACCACAUAGCUCUGUGUUUAUUGCUUCCUGAAAAUUAAUGUUUUUAUUGAUCACUCUUAAAAAAAAAAAAACAGGGUGAGAGGAAACUACUAAGUUGAUUAAACUGGUAACCAGUUCUGCGAUUUCUUCACCAGCCUGCUUUAUCAUGAUGAUAAGACUUUGGUCUUAUUUUCCAAAUAUCUGUAAUGCCUCAAAAUGAACCAAUGAUGUUUUAACCCAAUAACUCAGCUUUUUUUUUCUUAAAGAAUCUUGCUGAGUCACUUUCCUAAUACCAUUCUCCAGUCAUGGAAGUCAGCCAGCUUUGUAAUACUGUCUUACAGAUGCUCUUCAACUUUUAUUGGUCACGAUUUGUUUCCCUAAGAUUUGUAUGCCUUUCAAAUCUUCAAAGUUAGUGAAGCUUUCUUCAGCCAGGAUUCAUCUGUUUAUAGAGCAGAGUGGGUGGCUUUUGGAAAAUACUUGACAUGUUAUAAUAUUGGGCUGAGGAGUCACACGCCACUAUCCAAGUUGUCAUUGAAUGUGCAUUUCCUCUUGGGAAUGGAGUCCUUAAAACUUUGAGUCCUUUACCAAUAGCAAAAAUUAGCAUCCCUUAACAUUUUCACCUGCCUUAACAUUGUGGCCUCUGUUCUGCAGACUUCAGCUAUUAAGUCAGUUUAUUUUUCCCCGACAUUAUAAGCUACACGCUUCCCACUCACUUCUAUCCUGUCUAGCAAACACACUAGUCUUUUCGGUUACUACUUUAAAUCACAAUGAAAACUAUGGUUGUGUAUUCACAUGCAACUAUGGCGUGUGAGUUGAUCCCAUCCUCUGAGCCCAAUCUGUGUGAAGGAAAAUGUUUCUCAUUAGGAAACCACUUCGUUGUGAUCCUUUGGAACCAUUUCUAGCUUGUACAAAUUAUUCAAAAUAGACAUCUUUCCUUUCCCUGGACUCCACCCCGGCCUUGUCUAGCUUUCUGGUGCUUCCAGAAGUUAAACAAGCAGAUGUUAUAAACAAAAACAAACAAACAAACAAAAAGCAAAACAAACAAAAAAAUAAAAAAUAAAAAACAUGAAAGACAAAAACAAAAAGAAAACCACUACCAUGAAUAAAUUUCAUCUUCUGUGCAUUUCUGUUAAAAUUUAUAAAUUUUAUAUUCUCCAUUAAAUCUGUGAAGAUAAUACCCAACUAUGUAAACACAUUGAUAUUCGUGGAUUUUAAAGAAAAUUCUAACAGUACUGACUACUUAAAGUACAGACUUAAAACUGUAAAAUUAUCCUGACACUUGAGGCUAAAGAACAUCUUAGUAAGUGAUUUGCUGUGUCUGUUAACAUUUUGUGAAAAUUUGUAGAUGUGUACACUAUGUUUGGGUUUGAAGCACUUUCUCACCUCUAACUUUUUUCCUUCUUCACCCCCUUAAUCACAGACACAGGAAUGCAGCUGCCCUGUGUGUGUCUCCUUCAUCCUGCUGGGGACAGGCACGGGCAAGGAGAGCUCAGGGGUAACACACGGGCAUAAUUGGGGUCUGAUGAAAUAGGCUAAUCAUGGAUCCACUAAGCAAAUAUUAAUUUUCAUUGGAAGCCCUGCCAUUUUGUGAACUUAUAAGAAAUAAACAGAAGUAUUGUUAGCCUCAGGAUGUAUCUCUUUUCUUUAAGAAAAAAGAAACCCAUUGAUAAAUGUCUCUGAAAGGCUAACUCUCACCACUUCAUGCUCUUCUAAUGCUUCUGCACUGUCCUAUGUGAGGCUUGAGUGAUGUGGGUGUGCCACUGAAGGGCCGUGGGUAGGAGCGGUGUGUUUUCUGAACACCUGUUACACCUUUAUUACCCAGUUCUAUGAAAACAUGUAUAACAUAGAAGCAAAGCACUCAUGCUAAAGAUCGCUUCUGCUGAUCCUUGCUGCCAAGAUCUCCCUUACGGUCCUCAGCGUCUCUUCCCUUGACCAGGUUCUUCCUGUCUUCUUGGGCUGCUUUCUCUGUAUUAUUUUUCUCUUCUUCUUCCAGCUUAUGGAAACCAUUCCUACCACAAUUUUCUCUUCUAAAUUUGGUUUGAUAAAACCAAAUACUUUUCAUUGUUUCACCUGCAGUGAUCUUUUUCUUAGACUUUUGCAUUUUGCAUUCUUUUAGUUUUAGUAUCUGUACUGGCAUUUCUUAUAUAGAGGUCCUGUUCACACCAUGCCCACAUUCUACAGUGGAUUAUACACUUUGAAUAUCAAGCUCCAGCUAUAUGAGGUAGUUUGGGAUUAUUGAAAGGACACCAAGAGGCAGAAUGGCCAUGUAAGUUAUUGUUCAAGUCAGGAUACUUUUGAGAGUUAAAAAAGGCAAGUUAACAACAUCACACCACGGAUGUAACUGGGACAAUUCCAGCCAAGAACUGAGAUGGUCCUUUCUUUCCUCCUCUCCCACCCCAUUCUCCUCCUUGUCCUCCUUCUUCUUCCUCCUCUUCCCCAUCCUCCUCUACUGCCUGUUCAUAGGGGAAAUAUACGUCUGUCUGUCUGUCUAUCUAUCUAUCUAUCUAUCUUUCUAUCUAUUAUCUAUCCAUCUCCCAAAUGCAAACACUGAAUCACUAGUCAAUAAGUCUCAUUAUAAAUGUUUGAUGCUAGCCCAAUGCUGGGCUCACUUUCUAAACUCCUAGGUAAUUCCACAACAGAAAGAAAUAAGAUUUCAGGUAUUAUUUUAUGUUUCUUAUAAUAUUAUCAGUAUAGGAUACUAGUUAAACUGUGGAGACACAGAGACAAAUGGAGACUAGUCUGAAUAACCUGGAGACAGUCCUCUCUCACAGCAAAGUAAAAUCUGGUUUGGUGGUUCUGCUUUGCAAAGUUAUGACGGGCUCAAGCUCUUCCUACCUUUUUGCCUCACUCUCCUGACCUGUUGUCCUCUCCACAUAGCCCCAGAUGACUCACCAUCAUAUCCACAUUCUAGCCAGUGGGAAGGGGAAAUGGAGUUGGUAAAAGCAUGUUCCUCUUUCUCUUGUGCACUGCAACUCUGCACAGUCCAUCUGUUCUUACCCCAUUGGCCAGAAUGCAGUCACCUUGCUUCUACUGGCUGCAAGGAAGGAUGGGGAUUGUAGUUUUUCCCAUGAGAACUCAUAUACCCAGACUAAAAUUGGUAACUGUAUUAUCAAGAGAGAGUGGGAGCAACUUGGGGACAUUGACAGUUUCUGUCACACUUAGCAAUAUGAUGUACUCAUAGAGGGAUACACAAUUCUUGCUGUUGUUGCCUAUUGAUAACUUCACUGUGUAUUUUCUGGUCUUCAGUUUACCAUAUUGUGAUAUAUACUGUGUACAUGUAUAGGGACUUCAUUACUUUCACUCAAAAGCUCCAAUAAAGAAUCAUGCAGUCUAGGUGCAGUGGCUCACACUUGUAAUCCCAACACUUUGGGAGGUCAAGGCAGGAGGAUCGCUUGAGGCCAGGAG